UCGUAACAAGGUUUCCGUAGGUGAACCUGCGGAAGGAUCAUUACCGAGUGUAGGGUUCCUAGCGAGCCCAACCUCCCACCCGUGUUUACUGUACCUUAGUUGCUUCGGCGGGCCCGCCAUUCAUGCCGCCGGGGGCUCUCAGCCCCGGGCCCGCGCCCGCCGGAGACACCACGAACUCUGUCUGAUCUAGUGAAGUCUGAGUGAUUGUAUCGCAAUCAGUUAAAACUUUCAACAAUGGAUCUCUUGGUUCCGGCAUCGAUGAAGAACGCAGCGAAAUGCGAUAACUAGUGUGAAUUGCAGAAUUCCGUGAAUCAUCGAGUCUUUGAACGCACAUUGCGCCCCCUGGUAUUCCGGGGGGCAUGCCUGUCCGAGCGUCAUUGCUGCCCAUCAAGCACGGCUUGUGUGUUGGGUCGUCGUCCCCUCUCCGGGGGGGACGGGCCCCAAAGGCAGCGGCGGCACCGCGUCCGAUCCUCGAGCGUAUGGGGCUUUGUCACCCGCUCUGUAGGCCCGGCCGGCGCUUGCCGAACGCAAAUCAAUCUUUUUCCAGGUUGACCUCGGAUCAGGU
rnacentral:rRNA from 1 species